UACGUAGGGGGCAAGCGUUGUCCGGAAUCAUUGGGCGUAAAGAGCGCGUAGGCGGUCCGGUAAGUCAGCUGUGAAAGUCAGGGGCUCAACCCUUGAAAGCCGGUUGAUACUGUCGGGCUAGAGUCCGGAAGAGGCGAGUGGAAUUCCCGGUGUAGCGGUGAAAUGCGCAGAUAUCGGGAGGAACACCAAUGGCGAAGGCAGCUCGCUGGGACGGUACUGACGCUGAGGCGCGAAAGCGUGGGGAGCAAACAGG
rnacentral:rRNA from 1 species